rfam:Schistosoma haematobium scaffold9_49, whole genome shotgun sequence.
AUUCAACUGAUGUGUCCUAAAUAGGACGAAACACGCCUCUUGUAU